GAUAUUGGGGUAAGCGGGGGGUAUUCUUAGUGAGCAUUGCUCACAGUACCUCUUGUUUUUCAUUACUAAUGCCAUAAAAUCAGGGAUCCAAGGCCUAUGAUAAUUGUGCAAACUUAAAACAAAAAGGUGGAGGCUCAUACCUCACAUUACAAAGGUUUUGACCUAUGAAUAUGUGUGCCUAUCAUAAAAUGGCACUUUCUAUUCUGGUUUAAAUAUUUGUGUUUUUAAAAUUAAGUUGCAAUUUUUUCCAGAGGAAGUAAAGGAUAUUGAUGCCAGUUCUUGUGUGGAUGAUGAGGAUCAGAGUGAGGAGGAAAUAGAUGACAGUCAAGACAACCAGAAUUUCCAAACUGUGACUCCAGGGAAGAGGGAGGCAGUAUCUGAUAGCGGAUGCUCCAGAGAAAUGGAUGAGUCUUCAUCCAAGCGACAGAAGUUACAGAAAAAGCCAUGGACUUCAUCUGAAAUGAACUCCAUUCACAAACAUUUUUCACACUUUAUUACCAUGUUGAAGGUCGAGUAUCUACGAACACAACUGACUUGAAUGAACAUCAGAAGUAUUAGAUAAUGUAUUUACAACUGAAAUUGUAAUAGAAUUUUAUCAAUUGAAUUUGUGAAAUUAAUUUGAUAAUAAAUUUUGAUUUUUU